rnacentral:rRNA from 1 species
UACAGAGGGGGCAAGCGUUGUUCGGAAUUACUGGGCGUAAAGGGCGCGUAGGCGGCCUGCUAAGUCGAACGUGAAAUCCCUCGGCUCAACCGGGGAACUGCGUCUGAGACUGGAAGGCUUGAAUCCGGGAGAGGGAUGUGGAAUUCCAGGUGUAGCGGUGAAAUGCGUAGAUAUCUGGAGGAACACCGGUGGCGAAGGCGGCAUCCUGGACCGGUAUUGACGCUGAGGCGCGAAAGCCAGGGGAGCAAACGGG